GGGCCCGUAGCUCAGCUGGUUAGAGCAGUCCGCUCAUAACGGAUUGGUCAGAGGUUCAAGUCCUCUCGGGCCUACCA
rnacentral:tRNA from 1 species